GAUGAACGCUGGCGGCGUGCCUAAUACAUGCAAGUCGAGCGAACAGACGAGGAGCUUGCUCCUCUGACGUUAGCGGCGGACGGGUGAGUAACACGUGGAUAACCUACCUAUAAGACUGGGAUAACUUCGGGAAACCGGAGCUAAUACCGGAUAAUAUAUUGAACCGCAUGGUUCAAUAGUGAAAGACGGUUUUGCUGUCACUUAUAGAUGGAUCCGCGCCGCAUUAGCUAGUUGGUAAGGUAACGGCUUACCAAGGCAACGAUGCGUAGCCGACCUGAAAGGGUGAGUGGCCACACUGGAACUGAGGCACGGUCCAGACUCCUACGGGAGGCAGCAGUAGGGAAUCUUCCGCAAUGGGCGAAAGCCUGACGGAGCAACGCCGCGUGAGUGAUGAAGGUCUUCGGAUCGUAAAACUCUGUUAUUAGGGAAGAACAAAUGUGUAAGUAACUAUGCACGUCUUGACGGUACCUAAUCAGAAAGCCACGGCUAACUACGUG
rnacentral:rRNA from 1 species